rnacentral:rRNA from 1 species
CAGUCGAGCGACAGAUAAGGAGCUUGCUCCUUUGACGUUAGCGGCGGACGGGUGAGUAACACGUGGGUAACCUACCUAUAAGACUGGAAUAACUCCGGGAAACCGGGGCUAAUGCCGGAUAACAUUUAGAACCGCAUGGUUCUAAAGUGAAAGAUGGUUUUGCUAUCACUUAUAGAUGGACCCGCGCCGUAUUAGCUAGUUGGUAAGGUAAUGGCUUACCAAGGCAACGAUACGUAGCCGACCUGAGAGGGUGAUCGGCCACACUGGAACUGAGACACGGUCCAGACUCCUACGGGAGGCAGCAGUAGGGAAUCUUCCGCAAUGGGCGAAAGCCUGACGGAGCAACGCCGCGUGAGUGAUGAAGGGUUUCGGCUCGUAAAACUCUGUUAUUAGGGAAGAACAAACGUGUAAGUAACUGUGCACGUCUUGACGGUACCUAAUCAGAAAGCCACGGCUAACUACGUGCCAGCAGCCGCGGUAAUACGUAGGUGGCAAGCGUUAUCCGGAAUUAUUGGGCGUAAAGCGCGCGUAGGCGGUUUCUUAAGUCUGAUGUGAAAGCCCACGGCUCAACCGUGGAGGGUCAUUGGAAACUGGGAGACUUGAGUGCAGAAGAGGAAAGUGGAAUUCCAUGUGUAGCGGUGAAAUGCGCAGAGAUAUGGAGGAACACCAGUGGCGAAGGCGACUUUCUGGUCUGUAACUGACGCUGAUGUGCGAAAGCGUGGGGAUCAAACAGGAUUAGAUACCCUGGUAGUCCACGCCGUAAACGAUGAGUGC